rnacentral:tRNA from 1 species
GGUCCCGUGGCUCAGCCUGGUACCUUCGCUUCUCGCGGAGCGAGUGGGCACUUAGAGCGCUCGACUGAUAAUCGAGAGGUCCUGGGUUCAAAUCCCAGCGGGACCA